GUACAUGUCUCAAUUGUCUCAGUGCAUCUUUGCAAAUGAUUAAGUACAAGUAGCCUACAGUUAUACAGUUAGCCCACAUUUAGCACAUUUUCCAAAUGAAUAGAUCUUGUAGAUCUAAACUGAUUAGUUGAUUCCCAGUCUAAUGAUCAUUCUCUCCAAAACAUGUCAGCAUGAUUUCAUUGUAUAAGUACUCGCAUGCACAACUGUCUGUUCAAUUGUCAAAACUGGUCAAGAACAUAAUACCAUGAAUACCAUAUAUGAAUUUCUUUGAAUAUUUGAUAAAUUGAUGACAGUCAUUGACAGUCAGGUGAAACUAGACUAACGAAGGGGGAGUGUCACACACAGGUGUGUUCCAUGAUUGUGUGCUGCCAAACACAGAUAUAUAGAGCUUGACCAGAGCCAGUCCAAUCUCUGAACAUGGAUAGACAAGGCCAAGCAAACGGACAAGGGGAAGGUCUCCCUUGAGGAGGAGGAGGAGGAGGAGGAGGACUGAGAAUGCGUCGUGGAGGAAUAGGGGGAAGAGGCCGAGGUGCGCGAAGACACUGUGCUGUCCCGAAUGAAAUUCGGGCCACAAUUAUAGACCAUGUCAUAAACCGUGGCCUCACAAUGGCAGAGGCAGGUCGUCUAGUGCAGCCUAAUGUGCCUCGCUCUACAGUCUCCUCCAUCAUCCAAACCUUUCGCAGGGAAAACAGGAUUGGACGACAACCUCGCGUGGGUGGCAGAGGAAAACUGCUCAAUGAACAACAGGAAAGAGAGACUUGUAACAUGGUGAUGGCAAAUAAUGCCAUCACAUUGAGACAGAUCCGUGAUGCCAUCCUUCAGGACAAUCAUAUAUUCCAGAAUAUAAACACAAUAAGCAUCUCCACAAUAGACCGGGUUUUGAAGGAGCAUCAGAUGAUAAUGAAACAAAUCUACAGGGUACCAUUUGAGAGGAACUCUGACAGAGUGAAGGAGCUGCGCUACCAGUAUGUAAAUAAAUGAGCCAAACCAAUGGAGAAAAACUGAAAUGCAGCACUACGGACGAUACCUACAGCCAGCAUUACCGAGACUAACAAGCUGAUCUACACCAGGGCAGCAGUGAUCAGUGAGAUGCUUGGCUAUAAGUUGAACAGCCACAAGGAGCAGUACCCUCCAUGGAGAAGGAGACUAGAGGUUAAGAUCAAAUAGCACAGAGCUCCAGAUUUGAGCUUGCUAUCAGAGCACCAUUCCAAAUGGAUCCGACAUUGGAGAGGAAAAGGGGAGUGUGUCACCAUAGCAACACAGCCUGCAACAGCUAUUCUCAUGGUAUAGAUAGAGGGAGGAGCGGCAAAGGCUAAUUCAGCAGCUUGUUCCGUUAAGCAGUGAAAAUGUGAGGAAGAAAACCAUGAAUGACACAAAGACCAUUGGACACCUGAACAGUAAAAGGGGCAAUGCUAUGCUCUUGAGCAGUGUUGUGCGCUGUGCUCAGAUUGCUGAGCUUUUACAAAAUUGGCAACAUUCACAAUAUUGUUUCAUAACUGAGUUAACAUUAUGUACUCACAAGCCUCAGUAGAAUAAAAAUAAAAAACAAAUGGGUUAAUAUGUUUGCUGAGUCUAGCAUGUCCCUGUAACAAAGCAUUUGCACUGUAAAGCUUGCUGUAAAUGUUGUAAAUCUUGUGGCUGAAAACAUCACAAAGCUAACAAACACUCAAAUAA